rnacentral:rRNA from 1 species
UACGUAGGUGGCAAGCGUUGUCCGGAAUUACUGGGCGUAAAGGGCGUGUAGGCGGCCUUUUAAGUCAGACGUGGAAAACCCUGGGCUUAACCCAGGACCUGCGUUUGAUACUGAAGGGCUUGAGGACCGGAGAGGGCAGUGGAAUUCCCAGUGUAGCGGUGAAAUGCGUAGAUAUUGGGAGGAACACCAGUGGCGAAGGCGACUGCCUGGACGGCACCUGACGCUGAGGCGCGAAAGCCAGGGGAGCAAACGGG